AAAGAGCUUUGAGAGCACUGACGUUUUGCUCUGCCUCUCAACUGAAGCUACCUUCUUCCUCCUCCACCGAAGCCAGCAACGUCGUUCGUGUAGCCGCUGUUGAAGCUCUGCUUAUUCGCUCACCUCAGCUGUGAUUUUUUUUAGUUCUUACUGUUCGUCCGUCCGCCUCUGCUGCUGAUUCAAGAAUGAAAAGUUUGUCUUUCUCUUAGCUUCUGGUUCGCAUGGAUAUAAAAGAUUUGGGUGAGCAAAGAUCUCUUCCUUUGGGUUCAUUUUCUGUGUAUUGCUAAGCUUAUUCUUCUUCAUUCAUGGUGGCCGUUUUCUUCACUGUUCAUCAUCGUCCUCCUUCCUCUGUCCGUGCGUGUUGAUUCAUUGGAGGGUGUGUGGAAGAACAAGACCCUAAAAAGACUUAAAAGAAGAAUACUUUUGAGAGUUUAGAACUUCAACAGAUUUGUUAGCUGACGCUGAUCCCACCAACGACCUCAAAAAGGGCAACUAGCUACAUUGGGUGGACUUUUUGAUUGGUAUUGCUUUAAUAUAAAUAUAUAAUCUGUAUGUCUUUUUGAUUUGAAAGUAGUAGCGGAUGCUCCACAUAGGUUGUUGAUGAAUUUUAUUUUUGGUUUGUAUAUUGAUAGCUGGCUGGAAGGAGCUAUGCUCUUGAAUUGUAUUGUUAUUGUAAAAA